GCUCCUGAGAUCAAGUACUCUAUUUGCUUCGGCUUUCCAAUAUGCUGGAAUUACAAGCAUCAGCCACUGAGCCUGGCCACUUUUUUUUUCUUUUUGAAUUUUCAAGCACCAAGCAAGUCUUUCUUACAGAUUCUCUGGGACAGUGUUCUGCACUACAGUAAUAUUAUUUUUAUGUGUUUCUGUGUCUUCUCAAUCUGAUCCUACCCUUCUCAUGGAUGGGGAAUAUCUUUGUAUUCUCCUAGGAUCUUAACACCAUUUCUGAAAUGUUACAGGUCCUUGAUAAGUGUCUGUUCAUUAGUCAAGUGUUCAAUAUUCAUUGAAUGUCCUAUACAUGUUCUUUAAGUAGCACAGACGGGUCUCAAGGUAUGAGAGAAUCGCCUUGACUCUGUGCGUCACAGAGCACUUAGUGUUAGACUGAAAAUUUAUUAAUCACUUGCAUCAAAGGAAAAGGCUCACAUGAAAGUUGCUUGAUGAUCAACACCUCCAAACACACACAUUAUCCUGAUCCUUCAUCUAAUGGUUAAGUUAUGGUUCUCAGAGUGGUAGAAAAGACCUAUUACCAGAAAACUAUAAUCACGUGAUAAGUGCUAUUAUUCCUGUGUAAGAGGAAAUGUAGGAAGCACAUGGGAGGGGCCCCAAGCCAGUGGGCAGGGGAGGCUUCUUAUAGAAGGUGAUAGAUCACCUGAGCCAAGGGGCGUGCAGGCUGUAUAGGCAGAAUGAGGGAGGGUGUUUCACAAUGAAAGAGCGAUAUGUGAGUCAGCCUGGAGACCCAGACAACAGGUUGUCUUUGAAGAGCUGAAAGCGGUUUAACAUGAUUAGAGAUUAUGGGGACAGAGGCAGUGAGUUAUCAGGUUCAAGGCUGAGUGGUGAAACAUCAGGAAGGGCACCGUAAACUUUUUAAAAGAGUUUGGCCUUUAGCCAGAGGACACUGGAAAACAACUGAAGGGUUUUAAUCACUGGGGUAAGCUCAUUGUGAAAUAGUGGCCUUGCUGGUGGGCGGAGAGUAGAUUUGAGCAGGGCAAAAUACAGGCAGUGAGACCAGGAGACAACGGGAAUCAUCCAGGAGGGCCUGAGUUGUUUCCCAGGCUAGAGUAAUGCCAGUGCCUUUGGAGGGAGCCUGGUAUGGCAUGAGAUAUUUAUAAGGUAGACGUACUAGGGCUGGAUAGAAUGUGGACAUUUGAAGGUUGGAGAAAUAAGGAUUGCACUUAUAGAAAUGAUUCUUUUCAUUGGUAAAGGAAACACAAAUAACUGAGUUAUAGAAGAAAGUUCAUGAAUUUGGGACAUUCUGAGUUUUAAGUGUCUGUGGAACAUCCACAUGGGGAUAUACAACUAUGAAAGUGCACGUUUGAGUCUGAAACUCAUGAGCUCAUUCCCUGGAAAUAGAGAUUAUUAGAGGUGAGAACCCAUAGGAGACCAUGAAUGUAAAGAAGUAGAUGAAGCUGUCCGGGGUUAAUUCAGGCACUGAGAAGAAGCCCAAGGUUGCGGUAUUUACAUGCAACGGAAACCCAACCACAGAGCUGGCUAAAGGGUUGUGCUGUGCUGUCACUCAUUUUUCACUUCCUCAUUCCUUUGCCCAGUUACUUAUUCAUUCAUUGUCAUAUUCAUUCUUUCCUUUCUCUAUUCAUCUAUUUACCCGGUAAUCAUUUAUUGAGCCAGACGCUGGGCUAAGCUCUGAGUAGUCACAGAUGAAUGAGAUACAAUUUCUGAUCUAAAAGGGGCAAAUGUCUUAGUUUAAUAACAGCCAAGGCAGUCAAUAAGAUUCAUAAUGACAACACAAGGUAAUAAGUACUUUAAUGUUAGUAGAGAAUUAUUUGAAUGUAGGUUCCCCUACUCUGGGAAUGCUUUCACAAGGAGAAAAUGCUCGAGUGGAGACUUGAAGGACAGACAGAGCCCGGAGAAGUAGGUGUGGACGUGGUGGAGUAUUGUAGAGCAAGGACUAUUGCAUAAAAUGCAUGGACCUCAAGAAAUUCCUAAUUGGUCAACGUGACUCAGCCAAAGGGUAUUGAGAUAAGAAGUGUCUCUAGGAGCUCAUGAUGAAGGACCUUGUACACUGUGAUAAGUAAUUUAAACAAAUCUUGGAAGCAGUGGGAAGCAACAGCUUGACUUUAAUCUACAUGGUUUUAAGAGGCAUGAUGGAUCGGAGGUUUGGUUGAUGAAUCACUCAGUGCAGAAGGAGACGAAAAGGCAGGAUGAGGUUGUGCUCAAAACCUCACUGGAAUGAUGAGGGUGUGACUGCAGUCACAGGAGUGAUGGAGAGAUAUAACACCAUCUGAGAGAUGCCAAGUGGUACAGAGCCUUGUGUGACAGCAGAGCUCCUAUGUCUACAAGCUGGCCUCACACACAGCUGACAUCCAGCCAGGAUACUGCUACAUUCCAGGGUUCCAAGAGAGGAUAUUAAUACAUGAACUAUGAAAAGAGAGAAUCAGUAUGGCAGAUAGAGGAGCAUCUGAGCAAUGUUUGGGAUUUCAUGACUUCUGGAUAGUCAAGAAGAUUUGCAAACAUUUUUUGCAAAUGACAGCUUUGAAGCAUUGAGAUGGGGGAAGGUUUCAGGCUGCUGAACUAUUCCCUGGCAUUCUUCCAAACCAAGGCCAAUCUCCGUGGAACAAUGACUGGCAGCUCUUCUUUGGUAACAUGGCCUCCUGAACUUUCCUUGCUAUUCUCCCUCCUUGUUUCUGCCCAGGGUUGUGUUCCUUCCUCAGAGACUGGCCAAGGGUGAACUGAGGGAUGGCAGCUGCCACGUGACAUGUUUGCCAUGGUGCAUUUACAUUUGCCUGGUGCCUGAGCAGCUGGACACGCAGGCAAGAAACUCCCAUUGCUUGUGUUCAUAUGCCGCUCCCUGCUCCCUGGCAGCUGGAGAGGAAGACAAGGCAGGGAAUCGGGGUCUCCUGUCAUAUCCACCUCCUGCCGCCAUCACCAUCUGCACACAAGGCUGCAGGGAAGCCCUGUCUCCCUGCCCGUCACCAGGAGCCAAGGAAAAACACUCCAGGUGUAAGUGGCAGCUCGGGGACCUCAAGGCAGGGUGCAUCCUGUCCCCAGCAGAAACCAGCUGUUUCUUUACAGCUUUUAUACAGCAUCUAUUUUCAUUA